UGAGGAAUAUUGGGCAAUGCCCGCAAGGGUGACCCAGCAACGCCGCGUGGAGGAUGAAUGUCGUAAGAUUGUAAACUCCUGUUAGAGGGGAAGAAUAGUACCGGUUGGACCGGUAUAUGACUGUACCCUCAGAGAAAGCCCCGGCUAACUACGUGCCAGCAGCCGCGGUAAUACGUAGGGGGCAAGCGUUGUCCGGAUUUACUGGGUGUAAAGGGCGCGCAGGCGGGAUAAAAAGUCAGUGGUGAAAUCCUACAGCUUAACUGUAGAACUGCCUUUGAUACUUUUAUUUUUGAGUUCGGGAGAGAGAGACGGAAUUCCAGGUGUAGUGGUGAAAUACGUAGAUAUCUGGAAGAACACCAGUUGCGAAGGCGGUCUCUUGGUCCGACACUGACGCUGAGGCGCGAAAGCGUGGGGAGCAAACA
rnacentral:rRNA from 1 species